CGUGGCGAAAGGGGCAGUAAGGCAUAGGUAACCUACCCUUCGGACCGGGAUAUACGGUGGAAACGCCGGGCAAUACUGGACGUCGUUUCUGGAUGGCAUCAUCUAGCUUCGAAAUGGUCAGCCGCCGAGGGAGGGGCUUAUGUGCUACCAGCUUGUUGGUGAGGUAACGGCUCACCAAGGCUACGACGGCUAGGGGGUGCGAGAGCACGAUCCCCGCCACUGGGACUGAGAACUGCCCAGACUCCUACGGGAGGCUGCAGUCGAGAAUCUUCGGCAAUGGGGGCAACCCUGACCGAGCGACGCCGCGUGGUGGAUGAAGGCCUUCGGGUUGUAAACACCUGUUGGGGGGGAACAAUUUUGAGUGAACCCCUGAGGAAGCACGGGCUAAGUUCGUGCCAGCAGCCGCGGUAAGACGAACCGUGCAAACGUUACUCGGAAUCACUGGGCUUAAAGCGCGCGUAGGCGGCGGCGCAAGUCAGAGGUGAAAUCCCACGGCUCAACCGUGGAAUUGCCUCUGAUACUGCGUUGCUUGAGGGGGAACGGGGCAUCCGGAACUUCCGGUGGAGCGGUGAAAUGUGUUGAUAUCGGAAGGAACGCCGGUGGCGAAAGCGGGAUGCUGGGUCUCUUCUGACGCUGAGGUGCGAAAGCUAGGGUAGCGAACGGGAUUAGAUACCCCGGUAGUCCUAGCCGUAAACGAUGGGUACU
rnacentral:rRNA from 1 species